GAGCUAUUAGCUCAGCUGGAUAGAGCGCUUGCCUCCGGAGCAAGAGGUCACAGGUUCGAAUCCUGUAUAGCUCACCA
rnacentral:tRNA from 2 species